UGCCACAUUCAAUGUGGCACGCGGUGGCUGAUUUAAAAUCCAUAUAAAAUUAAGAGUAGAUUAUGUGACACAAAUAACGAGCAUUAGUUUCUGCAUCCUUCGAGAUCUUGAGAGAGGGAGAGAGGGAUGGGGUGUACAUUUUCUGGUUUAAACUCGCUGUACGACGCCGUUAAUGGCGGAGGAGACGUCUGGAUAAACGACAACAGGUUCAGGAUCUUGCGGCAGCUCGGCGAGGGUGCAUUCUCCUACGUCUUUUUGGUCAAAGAAGUCAUCACCGAAUCCUCGUCCAUUACCACCGGUGGUCUCACCAAGAGAGUCAAAGACACAUCUCACCUCUCCGAUGAUGGAACAUAUGCAAUGAAGAAAGUUUUGAUUCAGAACAAUGAGCAGCUGGAGUUAGUGAGAGAGGAGAUUCGUGUUUCGUCUUUAUUUAAUCACCGAAAUCUUCUUCCGCUGGUUGAUCACGCUAUAAUUUCUAUUAAGGAUAACCAAGAAGGAUCACGGAAUCAUGAAGCAUACUUAUUAUUUCCAGUUCAUUUGGAUGGGACCCUAAUGGAUAAUGCACAAGCAAUGAAAGCUAAGAAGGAAUUCUUUUCUACCUUAGAUGUUCUUCAAAUUUUCCGCCAGCUUUGUGCAGGACUUGGACAUAUGCAUGGUUUGGAACCUCCAUAUGCUCAUAAUGAUGUCAAACCUGGUAAUGUUCUUAUUACUAAUAGAAAAGGCCAACCGCCUCUUGCAAUAUUGAUGGAUUUUGGGAGUGCUCGGCCUGCAAGAAGGCAAAUUCGGUCUCGUUCGGAAGCUUUGCGGUUGCAGGAAUGGGCAGCUGAACAUUGUUCUGCACCAUACCGGGCUCCUGAGCUGUGGGACUGCCCAAGCCAUGUAGAUAUUGAUGAGAGAACUGAUAUUUGGUCACUAGGAUGCACUUUAUAUGCAAUAAUGUAUGGAGUAUCUCCAUUUGAGUAUGCACUGGGAGAGUCUGCAGGAAGCCUGCAAUUGGCUGUUGUUAAUGCACAAAUAAAAUGGCCAGCCGGGCCAAAUCCCCCAUAUCCUGACGCUCUCCACAAGUUUGUUACAUGGUUGCUUCAGCCUCAGGCUGCGGUUCGCCCCUUCAUCGACGAUAUCAUAAUUCAUGUUGACAAGUUGAUUGCAAAAUUUUCUCAAUAAAUUGAUGUGGUCGACUGAGUAAAAUUCAGCAGCAGAUUGGGCUAUAAUUGUUGGUCCGCCAGCGCAAAUAUUAUCCUAGUUAGAAGCAGAAACAGAAGGGAAAACAAUACCAAUUAAAAGCUAUAUGUUGCACCCCAAAAUUGCAUUAUGAGGCAGCUUCAUGGGUGCUGCUGAUACCAGUUGUCAUUGCCACUUAAGUGGACUUUGUCUGUUCUCAUGUUGGGCCUAUCCUACACGAAGUUGGUUCAUAGUCUGGCAACCACUCAGGGCAAUUCGGCCACAAAUAAUUAUAUUUUCUAACUGAGACAUUGUUGUAUAAAUCACAUUGGAUUGGUCGGCCUGACUCACCUAUCAAUAAAACCGGUUCUAAUGGAUUAAAACAAACUGUUCAAAUA